AAUUAUCAAUCCAUGCCACUGACUCAAGAUAACGCUCCUUGGGGGUAGAAAUAGUAUACAUAGGAAGAAUUAUAUCCAGAUAAGAAGUGGGAGGGCUGCACAAAUCUGCACAAAACUUUAAUUUAGUUGUAUGCGCAUACAUCAAAUAUCAUCUUUAUGGUAGCAUGAUUGCCCUUUUAAGUGUCCCUAUAUUUUUUUUGCAGAGUUCAUGCUAUUCCUUUCUUGAAGAAAGGAAUGUGUAUGGGAACUGUUGAUCAUAGCCUGAACCUCUGAUUAACCACCUGAGGCAAGCAAUGAGUCAGCCACAGGAGUACAGGUGAAGGCAAUUCACCAGUGCUACCGGAAGGGGUGUAGCCUGGCUGCACCUCUCCUAGAUCCCAUUUAAGUGCUGACUGCCACUGGGGAAGGAUCUCUUUCUGGAGAUUGCUCCUUGUGGAGUUUACUGUGAGCCUAUGAUACUGGAGACUGAGUACUUUGAGGAUAACUGGUCUAUUAAAUAUAGAAGUAAAGAAGGCAUUGAGAACCUCAACCUUUUCCUCAUACUCAGUGAUAAUGUUCCCUGACACAUCUAAUUAAGGAAUUUCUAUCCUUCCUGGACUUCUCCAGCACUGACUUCCAAUGGAUUCUCCCAGACGGUAUCCUAAACUGUUUAAAAUCUGCCCUCCAAGGGCAGGCAGAAGUUUUGCUAACCCCCCCUAUGGUGCAAACAAAGACAACGACAGUCUUUUUCCUGGAAUACAUGUAUUAUAGAACAGGAUGAUAAAAGAAUUGAUUCACCCCUUCUGACAACAGCUCAAAAGAAGGGCAAACUCAGAUGCAGCUGAGCUUCUAACCCUUAAUUGAGAGAGAGAGAGAGAGGAGGGAAUGAAUCCUGACUCUACCCCUUCUGCAGGUGCAUUACUUGCACCUGAGCUCCCUGAGUUAGCCAAAUCUGGUGCUCAACCAUUGGUUAAGGCUGUGACCUGGCAAUUCUAGGGCAUUCUCCCCUUUUGAUUUCAGGAAGGUUGAAAACUUUACCAUUUUAUGGUUGCUGUGCUCAAGUUAGCUUCCAGGGAUGGUGUUUCUAACCAGUUCUCUGUAUGUGAAAAGCAGGUCUAACCAUGUCCUUUCCCAGCUAGGUUCUCUUUUGAGCUGUUUGAGGAUCUCAUUUUUUUUCUUUGUUCUUAGGGAAAAAUAAUUACAUUGAAUACAAAGAAUCAGAGUCAGAAUUUGGUGUGAAAAGCAAUAGAAUUAUGAUAUGGGAGUUGAUAAUUCAAUUAAAUAUCAAGCUUUUGUAUGGUCUAUCUCUUUGCAUGUUCCCUAAUCUGUGUUCCUGACACUUUAAGAGAACAAACAGAAUACAGAACAAACCUGCUUAAUGUCUCAACUUUUAAACAUAAGUAUCAUUUUAGAUAGCUAUUGCCUUCUUCCACUGCUGUUUAAAAUGUUUGCUUAUGCUACAUAUAAGGCUGAAGAUCUCUGGGGAAACAAAUGUCUUAUUUUGGGAUUAUAACUUAUUAUUUGUAGAGACUAUAAGGCUAAAAAGCAUCUCAAACUUAGGUGUAGUGGGUGGUGGGAUGAACAGCUUGAUACCCUGUUUUCACAACUACAUUAAUCUUAACUGGUUUGGUUCAUUGCAAUCUCCCAUCUGUGCUUAUAUUGACUUUUGAGAUAAUCAAAUACAUUACUUUACAAAUUCCAAAAACCUUUGGGACAGAGUAAUGAAUGGAUCAUUGACUAAACUGCAGUCAAUAGGCUAUUAUAAUUUCCCUUAAUAAGCAAUAUUGAAGAGUUCUACUUCAUGUGAAGGAUUACUGUGACUAAACAAUAAUUGUACCAAUUUAAAAAAAAAAGGGAAAGAGUCUCAUAAUAAGGAAAUGACAUGAAAAAUUAUACAUGUGAUAAGAGUAAAAAAGUAGUUUACACAGUCAGCUUAAGUUAAAACAUAGUGUUACAUUUGGAUGACAAAGUAAACCAAAUUUGUUGCCACAUAUUGGGGAUGUGUGAACUCAUCUUGACUGAUUUUGGAUUCUGUCAAAUAUUGUGCACUUAGAAGCUUAUUUGUGAGUCCAGUAUUGCUGUAUUAACAUUUCAGUUAAUGUAUCCUAUGACAGAGAGUAGAAGGUGAGGACAGUAUAUCUAACAAGGACAGUAGUCCUGAGGAAUAUCUUCUCUGUAAAAUUUCAUUCCAAAUAACCCCCACUGACCCAUCAUUUAUAGCAUCAUCAGACUUUUCAGUAUGUUUCAAAAAGCUCUGAGACUCUUGGCAGAGGAAAAAUAAAACUGUUAUGGUCCACCACAACAAUACAAAAAAAUUCUGUUAGUAUAGCUAUUGGAGGCAUAGAAAAUUAAGUUCCAUUUUGGGAAGAUUCUCAUUUUGUAAGAAUGCUGAGUAGUCACAGAAAAAUGAUACAUGAAAUGGAGGAAGUUAUUAAGGGCUUUCCACAUACAGAGAAACUUCUUAAAAGAAGGUAGUUAUUGAUUUUGUGAUUACUGGGGAACAUUCAAACUAAAUGACUUCUGUGAGUGUGGUCAGAUAGAUGGGUGUCUGUAUGCCAUUAGUUAUACUUGUCAUUAAUUGAGUUUGUAAUUAAUGGAAGGCUGCUUUUUUGGAACCUGAUCUGUAAAGGAUUGCAUGGGAACAUAAACAAUGUGAAAGUUAACAGUUUUCAUCUGAUAAGGCAAAAGCAAAAUAUUUAUAAAUUAUGUAGUUAUGGGUAUGUGGGAAUAUUUAGGUGUUCUGUUUUGUUUUUUAAAUGGUAAAUUUUAUAUGUAGCUGAUGCAACAUAGUGAGAGUUGCAGAAGCAGGUGUACCUUCAAAUAGCUUAUGAAUGCAAUCAAUAAUGCAAGCUGAUGAGGAGGAGCUGAAGAGCUCUAGAAGCAAAGGAGAGAACAGCAGGCGAACAGGGCAGCACACCCCGCUGCACAACGUGUCCUCUCCCUGGCCAUGUCUGGGAGUACCUUGGACAGCGAUCCCAGCACUGGAAGGGUGGAAGUUGUGUUGCACUGUGACAUAUGCAAUGAAUUAAAAGCAUUGAGCUGGAAGCAGUGGGUCUUCCAUUAGUGGAUAUAUUGCUUCCGACUCAUGAUGGAUGUCUUCAAGGUAUAAAUCAAAAUGGUACAGAAAAAAAGCUGAGGAAGGGUAAUUUACAAGAUUGUAUUAAGAAACAGAUUCAAGGGAUAUGUUAAAUUAAGCCAGUAUCAGCAAACAAAUGUAUCAAGGCUCAGUCAGCUAUUUGGCAUCUCUUUUCUCUCACCAUGAGGUAAAUGACUAGAUAGUGAUAAAAGACUUUAAUGAAGUGUUCUCUAAGAUAACUUUGCUAGUGUAGAAAGAAAGGAGAAAGGGCCAAAUCCCUCUGUUUAUGUUUAGUCUAAUGUUAAACAGAUGUUCAUAAUGUAGAAUUUAACUGAACUUCUAGAAUAUUAGAUAUCAAAUGAUGAUAGUUAACUUUUGUGUGAUCUGUGCAUUUUAAUUCAAUUAAUUAUAAAGCAAACUCUUUAGGAAGCAGCUGCAGAAAUUGUUUUAGUAUAACUAUCAAAUCUCCUUAUGAGGAAACCCUUAACUUUCAGGGUUUUAACAUGAAUACAAUUGAUAAUGGCAUUGAAUCAUAUGUGGAAAAACCUUCUGAAGUAGGUUUUAUCUGGGAAAAGGAUUCACCAUAAGAAGUAGUUACAGCUAGGCAAAUUCACACUGGAAUUAACUGACAACAUUUUAACAGUGAAAAUAACUAAGUACUGAGUGCAAGGAGUAAAAGGUGGAUGGGAAGUGAUGUCUUUCCUUACUGUCUCUAGUUCAACUUCUAAGAUGUAUACUUAGGUCGACUAAAAUUUCACAGUAUAUGCAUUCUCAGUGAAACAUAUGUAGAUUACUUUGAAAAUAAUGCUGUUCAUUUCCAUGGAAACUACAACAAAUACAAAUAGCAUAAUAACCCUAGUUGAUAAAUUCUCAGCUAUGAAACUUUUCAACACACUCACUACCAUUAGUCCAUUUAUGUGGUUGAGCUGAUCAAGAUGCUCUUCCUUUCAUGGCAUGAUAACUGUGCAUAGCCAAACCAAAAGUGGCUUGUCUUUCAUGUUGCUGUUGCCACUGCUGAAAUGUGCCACCCAUCACUUCACUGUGCUGACAUCCACU